rnacentral:rRNA from 1 species
UGCUCCUACGGGAGGCAGCAGUAGGGAAUUUUCGGCAAUGGGGGGAACCCUGACCGAGCAACGCCGCGUGAACGAAGAAGUUAUUCGUAAUGUAAAGUUCUUUUAUCAGGGAAGAAAGAGGAAUUUGACGGUACCUGACUAAGAAGCCCCGGCUAACUACGUGCCAGCAGCCGCGGUAAUACGUAGGUGGCAAGCGUUAUCCGGAAUUACUGGGUGUAAAGGGUGUGUAGGCGGGGCUGCAAGUCAGAUGUGAAAAUUAUGGGCUCAACCCAUAACCUGCGUCUGAAACUGUAGCUCUUGAGAGG